rnacentral:rRNA from 1 species
AUUGAACGCUGGCGGCAUGCUCUACACAUGCAAGUCGAACGGUAACAGGGAGCUUGCUCCGCUGACGAGUGGCGAACGGGUGAGUAAUGCGUCGGAACGUGCCGAGUAGUGGGGGAUAACGCAUCGAAAGGGGUGCUAAUACCGCAUACGAACUGAGGUUGAAAGUGGGGGACCUUCGGGCCUCACGCUAUUCGAGCGGCCGACGUCUGAUUAGCUAGUUGGUGAGGUAAAGGCUCACCAAGGCGACGAUCAGUAGCGGGUCUGAGAGGAUGAUCCGCCACACUGGGACUGAGACACGGCCCAGACUCCUACGGGAGGCAGCAGUGGGGAAUUUUGGACAAUGGGCGCAAGCCUGAUCCAGCCAUGCCGCGUGUCUGAAGAAGGCCUUCGGGUUGUAAAGGACUUUUGUCCGGGAGCAAAUGCCUGGUGUUAAUAGCAUUGGGAGCUGAGAGUACCGGAAGAACAAGCACCGGCUAACUACGUGCCAGCCGCCGCCGUAAGAC